GCCAGUUCUGAGUAGGACAGCAAGGAGAGGAACCAGUCUGAAGUGAGAGACAGAGGAGAGGAAGCCAGUCAUGAAGUGAGAGAGGAGAGGAAGCCAGUCUAAGUUAAGUAGCAGAGAAAGCCAGUCUGAAGUGAGAGAGGAGAGGAGAGGAAGCCAGUCUGAAGUGAGAGCGAUCGAGAGGAGAGGAAGCCAGUCUGAAGUUAGAGAGCAGAGCAGAGGAAGCCAGUCUGAAGUUAGAGAGCAGAGCAGAGGAAGCCAGUCUGAGUGAGAGAGGAAGGGAGGAAGAAAGUCUGAAGUGGAGAGGAGAGAGAGGAGACAUCGAAGUAGGAAGCAGAGGAGAGAGGAACCAGUCUGAAGUGAGAGAGGAGAGGAGAGGAAGACAGUCUGAAGUGGAGAGGAGAAGGAGGGAAGCCAUCUGAGUGAGAGAGGAGAGAGAGGAGACAGUCUGAGUGAGAAGGAGAGAGAGGAAGCCAGUCUGAAGUGAGAGAGGAGAGAGAGGAAGACAGUCUGAAGUGAGAGAGGAGAGAGAGGAAGACAAGUCGAAGUGAGAGAGGAGAGGAGAGGAAGACAGUCUGAAGUGAAGAGGAGAGGAAGCCAACUAAAAAUGUCGGAAGCAUUGGAGUCAACAUGGGCUAGCAAUCCUGUGGUUUAUCCCAUGGUUUGUGUAUAUUGUCUCUAUAACUAAAUAACAUGGUAGUGGUAUAUUGUCUCUACAACUAAAUAAACAUGGUUAUCUGUAUUGUUU
rnacentral:lncRNA from 1 species